GGGACUGUGGGGUAGCUUGGUCCAUCCUAUGGCGUUCGGGACGCUGUGACUCCGGUUCAAAUCCGGACAGUCCCA
rnacentral:tRNA from 1 species